UACAGAGGUCUCAAGCGUUGUUCGGAUUCAUUGGGCGUAAAGGGUGCGUAGGCGGCGCGGCAAGUCGGGUGUGAAAUCUCGGGGCUUAACUCCGAAACUGCAUUCGAUACUGCCGUGCUUGAGGACUGGAGAGGAGACUGGAAUUUACGGUGUAGCGGUGAAAUGCGUAGAUAUCGUAAGGAAGACCAGUGGCGAAGGCGGGUCUCUGGACAGUUCCUGACGCUGAGGCACGAAGGCCAGGGGAGCAAACGGG
rnacentral:rRNA from 1 species